AACUAACAAGGAUUCCCUCAGUAACGGCGAGUGAAGCGGGAAGAGCUCAAAUUUGAAAUCUCCGGUGCUUGCAUCGGCGAGUUGUAGUUGCGAGAAGCACUUUCUAGGUGGAUCGGCGGUGCCUAAGUUGCUUGGAACAGCACGUCGCAGAGGGUGACAACCCCGUCUGUGGCGCCGCCGGCCGCUGACGAUGUGCUUUCGAAGAGUCGGGUUGUUUGGGAAUGCAGCCCAAAAUGGGUGGUAAACUCCAUCUAAAGCUAAAUACUGGCGUGAGACCGAUAGCGAACAAGUACCGUGAGGGAAAGAUGAAAAGAACUUUGAAAAGAGAGUUAAAAAGUACGUGAAACCGUCGGAAGGGAAACGAAUGGACUCAGCAAUGCGCCCUCUGAGAUUCAGCCGCGUGGGUGGCGGUGGCGCGGGGUUUGCGGAUCUGAAUGGACCGCGGCCCGGCGCUCGCUGCUCCCCGCCGUCGCACUUCUCUGGGGCGCGCGUCAACGUGGGUUGGGACUGGGUCUGAAAGGUGCCGGGAAGGUAGGUGUGGGCCUUCGGGUCCGUUCUGUUACAGCCCGGUUCUCUCAUGGCUCGGGCCCGACCGAGGAGCAGACAGGGCAUGCCUCCUGUGGCUAGGGUCC
rnacentral:rRNA from 1 species